UGCCGAAAAUUCAAAUAUACUAAUCAAGCCUAUCAUGAGGAGUGCCCCAUUUCCUUGGUUGUAUUAUACUUCUUCCGUCCCCUACAAGCAUUUUAGAAAGCCCAUGCACCUUUUCGCUUCCGAGUGUGCAAAGAUCACAAGUAUCUGGUAGUCAAGAUGUUAUUCCAGGAGCGAAGAGAUAGGCUACUAAAUAAUGCAAUUCGUCUGAUCAAAAUUUACCACACCUUCAGAAAAGCUAGCAGUAACGGAAUUUGAAAGAUUGAAGCCCCACCUCCUAAGAAGAGGAGAUAUAAGCAUAAGUUUACAAUAAUGGUUGUAAAGCCCCAUUCUGGAUCAAGAAGCUCUAUUGAUGGUGCAAGCUUUGGAGAUCAUCAUCAAGAAUCUUUAUUGAUGUGUGUGAG
rnacentral:lncRNA from 1 species